AGUUAACUGACGAGUCCUAAAUAAGACGAAAUGCGCAUCUUGGAU
rnacentral:hammerhead_ribozyme from 1 species